GAAGGAAUAAACAAAAUAGUGACGAAGCAAACAUCGGCCCUUAUUCUGCCAGCAGUUCCUGACGUGACUUUGGUAGAAGAGAUGAUGAGGGCUCUCCGACAGCGAAAAAGGAACAAAUGCGAAGAAAAAAAAAAGAAAGAGAGAAACAGAGAGAGAGAGAGAGAGGAUGACUCGUGGUCGAGAGACGUUGACACUCUGGCAACAAUAAAAACGAUACAUCGAGGCGUAACGAAUACGAUAUAAAUAAAAUAAUCGUGAAACGCAAGGAGUCCCCUUCGUAAAAGGGCCGAAAAAGGAUUCACGCUUCGAACGAAUUCGAAUGAUCGGAGAUACACGUGUGACGUAUUAAUUGGAACCAAAUCGUUCGAGCAAAUGACGAAAUUGAGCAGAAAAUUUCCAAUUUGGAUUUCGAAGGGGAGAAUUCAAUUUUAUGUUCAAUAAUAAAUACCGAGAGUAAUUCCAUUACAUGGAUGUGUCUGAUCGGUCCAAGGAGGACGAUUAUUAAACGAUUUUUCCUUUACGCAAGACGAGAGGAGUAAGCGUUCGGUCAUCGAUGGCUUGCUUAUAUUCACCUUCAUUACCGACGGAUCCAUUAAAGCUCGAACCAAGGAAAGGAGUCCAAGGAGGAGGAGGAGGAGGAGAAGGCUGUUUAUUCCGAUCAUUCGGUAGUAGAAACUCGUGUUCUUCCAUCGUUCUCUACCGUACUUUUACAUCGAACGUCGACCAUUUCCAUGGAGUGAAUGACGAAUGGGCAAAAGUCAUGACGAAUUAUUACGCGAGGUACGUCAUGCAUCAUGCUGCCAGCGUUUAUCGCGCGGGAAUAAAACGAAAGGAUCGGUCGCAACGAUGUGUGCUAGUGUCUUCUUAAAUUUCAUACUACACAACGACGAAGAG